rnacentral:rRNA from 1 species
AUUGAACGCUGGCGGCAGGCCUAACACAUGCAAGUCGAGCGGAUGAAGGGAGCUUGCUCCUGGAUUCAGCGGCGGACGGGUGAGUAAUGCCUAGGAAUCUGCCUGGUAGUGGGGGACAACGUGUCGAAAGGAACGCUAAUACCGCAUACGUCCUACGGGAGAAAGCAGGGGACCUUCGGGCCUUGCGCUAUCAGAUGAGCCUAGGUCGGAUUAGCUAGUUGGUAAGGUAAUGGCUCACCAAGGCGACGAUCCGUAACUGGUCUGAGAGGAUGAUCAGUCACACUGGAACUGAGACACGGUCCAGACUCCUACGGGAGGCAGCAGUGGGGAAUAUUGGACAAUGGGCGAAAGCCUGAUCCAGCCAUGCCGCGUGUGUGAAGAAGGUCUUCGGAUUGUAAAGCACUUUAAGUUGGGAGGAAGGGUUGUAGAUUAAUACUCUGCAAUUUUGACGUUACCGACAGAAUAAGCACCGGCUAACUCUGUGCCAGCCGCCGCUGUAACAC